AUUGAACGCUGGCGGCAGGCCUAACACAUGCAAGUCGAGCGAGCGGCGGACGGGUGAGUAAUGUCUGGGAAACUGCCUGAUGGAGGGGGAUAACUACUGGAAACGGUAGCUAAUACCGCAUACCAUCAGAUGUGCCCAGGUGGGAUUAGCUAGUCGGUGGGGUAACGGCUCACCUAGGCGACGAUCCCUAGCUGGUCUGAGAGGAUGACCAGCCAAACUGGAACUGAGACACGGUCCGGACUCCUAGGGGAGGCAGCAGAGGGGAAUGUUGCACAAUGGGCGCAAGCCUGAUGCGGCCAGGCGGCGUGUGUGAAGAAGGCCUUCGGGUUGUAAAGCACGUUCAGCGGGGAGGCGUUACCCGCAGAAGAAGCACCGGCUAACUCCGUGCCAGCAGCCGCGGUAAUUC
rnacentral:rRNA from 1 species